AGAUACAUUUUCGUGUAGCAUGUUUUGUCACGCGGUGGGUGCGUUCAGUGCUGCCGUUGUUGCAGCACUCUGUGAACGCAUCCCAGAAAUGUCAGUUUGACAAAUGGCACUCAGUGAACGUAUCCCAGAAAUGUCAUCUUGACAAACAGGUUUCGAUUUUAUUUUUCGUUCAAUUUGUUUUGAUUUUGUUUCAGUUCUUAGAAAUUGUGCACUGAUUGUUUGUCUGCGCCGUCUUAAUCGGCAAAUCACACAAGAUUCCACCUCAAAUAUCGUGGUGGUACACGGACCGAAAUCCUCCACUGAGUGACCGCGGGAUUUACGGAGACUGUCAGAUUUUUUUUUCAAGAGGAUGCGAUCAUUUCCUCAAAUUGGACAAAUCUACACAUUGGCGGUAAAUACGUCGUAAAACGGUUUAUGGAAUCGACGACACCGAGUUGGUGGAAAAGUUCUGCAGGUUUGAUGUCAAGUGGCCAACGUGACAGUUUGGUAGCGGGAACGCUUUCCACCAUCAUCAACUGGGAGCGAUAGCUCGAAAGUCAGCAUGGCUUGCCAAUUACAACAUCACCCACAAGCUGAUGCCAACGGAAACGCUGCUGCAGAACCAUCUGGAAGAUUUGUUCCAUUUGCUAAACUUUUUGAACAAGCACAAGUUAAACGACCUGAGCGCGUUCCUGAACGAGAUUGCCGAUUCAAACAAGGAGGAUCAGAUCGAAAACUGCACAAAAUGUUGGAUCUGCACAUGCUGCUGCGUCUCAAGGCGGACGUGAUGAAGACACUCUCGCAGUGUCGCAGUCCUCGAUGCAGAAAAGCUCAACAAGUACAUCCUGACCCGUAACGUCGAAGCGCUGAACGCAAAAAGCGUUGGCGGACCAAAAGAAGUGCUGCAAGCAUCAUAUCUGUUCCCGGUCGCGGUGUAGAAAGCUCUGCUGGGUAUCGGACAGGUCAACAAGGUCAUUUUCCGGCUUUGGUGGUACGACCUGGUAUGAGCGAUAAGGGCGUUUACUGCACAGAACAAAACGGGACAGUAUUCUGCGGUUUGGCACGAAGAAGAGUACAAAUUAUAUUUAAACUAAUUAUGUAAAAAACCCGAUUUAAUCCCACCUGGGGUGAGACAGAGCCUUUCUUACUAAAGAAUAUAACAAUGGUAGAACUUUUUUCAAUUCAUAA